rnacentral:rRNA from 1 species
UUUGCAGCUGACGCUGGCGCAGCUACCAUGCAGUCGAGCGGAACGAUGGAGCUGCUACAGGCGUGCGUGGCAGAGACAGGUGAGUAUACUUAGGAAUCUACCUAGUAGCCGUGGGGAUAGCUCGGGGAAACUCGAAUUAAUACCGCAUACGUCCUACGGGAGAAAGGGGGCAGUUUACUGCUCUCGCUUUUAGAUGAGCCUAAGUCGGAUUAGCUAGUUGGUGGGGUAAAGGCCUACCAAGGCGACGAUCUGUAGCUGGUCUGGGAGGAUGAUCAGCCACACCGGGACUGAGACACGGCCCGGGCUCCUACGGGAGGCAGCAGUGUGGAAAGACGAAAAAUGGGGGAAACCCUGACCCAGCCAUGCCUCUUGUGUGAAGAAGGCCUUUUGGUUGUAAAGCACUUUA